rnacentral:rRNA from 1 species
UACAGAGGGUGCAAGCGUUAAUCGGAAUUACUGGGCGUAAAGCGUGCGUAGACGGUUACAUAAGUCGGGUGUGAAAUCCCCGGGCUCAACCUGGGAACUGCCUUUGUGACUGCAAGGCUUGAGUGCGGCAGAGGGGGAUGGAAUUCCGCGUGUAGCAGUGAAAUGCGUAGAUAUCAGGAGGAAUACCGGUGGCGAAGGCGGCAUCCUGGACCGACAUUGACGCUGAGGAGCGAAAGCUAGGGGAGCAAACGGG